UGCAAAACUGUAUUAAAAAAAGUUCCGGACCUACUUAAAAGAAGAAAAAAAUCAGGGACUUAAUUAAACCUUUUUUUUUAGAGAGGAUGUUUAAACUUCACCUUCGUCCUGGAAAUCUCUUCUACAAAUCUUUCAUUAUACUUCACUGGCGGAUUAGUUCAACAUUCCCCACUCUUUUGAAUUUCUUGAAAGAUAACAUUAAAAAAUUGUCACUUACCAAGUUACCAUAAUUCACCCUCAACAAAUGUCCAUUUCAACCCAUUGCAAUAGACCAUGGUUUAAAACCACCAAGAUUUCUGACGGAGAUACAAAGCUUGUACUGUUCAAACAAAGAUACAACUACUUUAAAUACCACAUCAACAGUGGUCGUCACAUGAAUAAGCUUCGUAGUUAGUUACCUGAACAAAAAAUACAAAGUCAUAAUUAGGCCCAACCUACUACAAGGAAAUAUGACAAGAAAGAUGUUUCUAGCAAGAUUGCCAAACUUGAAGAGUUUACAUGAAUUUGUGGAGCAUCAUAAACUUGUAAGAAUUUACCUUAUACAUAAUAUGAUAAUAGUAUUUAAAAAACUAUCAUAGUAUCCAAAAUAAUCUAAUACCACCAGUUUCACAGAUCUGUAAUGGGAAAAGUUUAGAAUAUAAAGCAAACCACAAAUCAAUAAUUUACAAAUCACAAGAUGUGUUGAUAUCUCAGAAUGCAUACUGAAACAUAACAAAUUCAAAAUUAAUGGACAAAUUAACAAAUCACAAGAUGAGUUAAAAGCCCCCGAGAUACAAACGGAACAUAACUAAUUCUUCACAAAUCACAAUGUUCAGAAUUACUUAAAAAAUUAAGAUAAUGGUGGGUGGAUGCUAGGUUCACCUCAUUGAUGCUUGAUCGAUGAUUCACCCUGGGACAAUGAGCUAUGAUAAUGAUGGGUUCAUUCACGAUGAAUUGGAAUGGCUUGAUCACUGGGUUUGUCGCAGAAAACUGUAAUAGGUUAUGGGUUCAUUCAAACUAGGAGCCAGAGAUAUAGUUGUUGUGGGUUUGUUCAUGCUAGGAUACAGCUGUGAUGGUGUUCAUGAAACUCAAAAAUUAGCUCGUGGAAUCGUGUGUUUACAAUUGUACCACGUAAGAAAAUCAAUUAGACUAGCAUAAAACUCAUUUCUUCAAAGACUUGGGUGGACUCACAUGAAAUCGUUCAAAAUAGUAAGUUUAUGAAUAACUGAACUGUGCAAGACAGCUUAAUAUCCUCCCCGGCCCAAAACAACAGUGUUAAUUCAGAGAUCCAGAAUGCAGUUGAAAGACUGCCUAAUAUCGUCUAGGGCUCUGCAUCCCAUCACUCAUUAUCUAUGACUAUGUUGUCAAACUCCAGAGUCUAC
rnacentral:lncRNA from 1 species